UUCUUCUUCUUCUUCAUUUUUUAUGUUCUAGCUUCCUUUUCUUGAUUUCUCAAUUGAAAACAAGACACACACAAUUACACAAAAGGAAAAGGGACGAAAAAACAAAAAAGAAACAAUAAAAGGAAAAUAGAGCCAAAAGAAAUCUAGCAUCUCUUCAUCUUCAAUCGCUGCUGCUCUUGCUGUUUUAGCCAAAAACGCACCAAAUAGUUCUGUUGUGCAUAUCUCCGGCGAGUUUGGAGGACUGUUGAUUUCGUUCGAGUUCGAGUGUUGUUUCGAAUUUCACGUGUAGUGUGCCCUUCCGUCUAGAAUAAAAAAAUAGAUUUUGAAAAUUAAAAGAAGAAUUCAGGUUCCAAUUGUUGUUAGAUUCCAUUGAUGUUGCUGUUUGGAUGAAAUUUUGCCGAGCUUUGUCGAUUUUGCUCGUCUGUGAUUUCUAAUUUUGUGGCUGAGUCGGAGGGUCAAGUCUCACUAAGGUUUGUUUUUCUUUAUUGUUAAGUUUGAAUCUUCAAUGUUGUUUCACUUUGUAAUAGCUCUUGUCAAGCUUGGACUAACACUGAUUUGGUGCAUAUGCAAAAUGAAACAACAUUUUUCAUCCAAAUCAGUUUUACUCCAAGCUUGACAGGAGCUAUUACAAAAUGAAACAACAUUGAUAAUUCAACCUUAACAAUAAAGAAAAACAGACCUUAGUGAGACUUGACCCUCCGACUCAGCCACAAAAGUAUAAGAUCUGAUUGAUAUAAGGAAUUAGGGAUUUGGUUUUAAUGAGGGUAAGAGUUAAUGGGCCAAAACAAUUGGGCUGGACUAUGGGUAAUUGGGUUAUUUGAGAUUUUUGGGCUUCAAGUUAAGCUGGCCCAGACGAAAUUAAAAGACCAAAUCUUCUUCUUUUUCUUUAUUUUUAUUUUGAUUUCAAAAUCUAAAUGAAUUAAUUAAACAUGCUAAAUAAAAUCCUAAAUUAGGCUCUACCUUAAAUUAUUUCGUAAUGUCAAUCUUACUUAUUUUUACUAAUUUAGCACUAAUUAAUUUAAACUAAAAGCUAGAAUGUGGACAUGACUAUUGUAGUAAUUUUUGUGAUUUUUGUUUAAUGAAUGCAUUUAAAUUAUGAAACUAAAUUCCAAAAUGCAAAUUAAACCUAAGAUGGUAUGGAAUAAAAAUGCAACAAUUUUUUUAUGAUUUUUCUAUGAUUUUAAAAUAUUAAAAAUGCAUGGAAUGCAACUAAAUAAAGAAAAACUCUUAAAAAUCAAUUAAAAUUUUUUUUGGUGUAUUCUUUUGGAGUUAUUUUCAAAUAGAGCAAAAAUUAGGUGCUCACAGCUGCCCCUCUUUGCGCGAAAACAUGAAGAGUUUUUGCAAAGAUAAAGUGAGCAAUUAAGAGAAAUUUUGGCCCGUUUGAAACUCCAUUUGGAAGCAUUUUGAAAAAGUUUGACUGAACCUUGCUUCAGAGGUUCCCUACAUAUCCUUGGCUAUAAAGGAAUCAGGUCGGUGUAGUUCUGAAAAUUUUGGUAGCUGGGACUACCGAGAAGCUGUGAUUUCACUGCUGUUGCUGUUGUUUCUGCUUGGUGAGAUCCUUAUUACACCAAAGUGAAAAAUAAAAGCUAAGCUAGCUAAGCCUAUCAACUAUGAGUUACAAGAUUCCUAUCUAUGAGUCUUCUGAAGCUUGAUCUUGAGUUUUGGUUGGCUCUUCCUGCAGACUCUUAUCUGAAUCUAGAUGCUCGUUAGCUACAACCGCUGGUUCAUUUUCUUCAACUUGUUGGAUCAAGGCGGGACAUGCGAAGCUUGUGACUUCAAUCAAAUUUGAGUAGUCCGCAUCUUUUCUCCACUUUUGCACCUCGAGUUCAACUUCUUUUCUUGUUUCUUUUUUUCUUUUAUUUGAGUUGAGACUUCUUCUUUUGGUUAUCUCAAACCUUGUGCCUCACGGUGAAAAACCUGUUUUAGGCACCAAAGUAAACAAACGAACGAAAUUUUCUGCCCCAAUUUUCACUAGGAAAAUUUCGUGAGUUAUUCGUAACACUAAGCUACUUCUUUAUUGAAAGCAAUAAAAUCAGGAUUGUGUAUCCUUGGGAAAAGAAACUUAGGGAGUGGAGAUCCUGUGUCUAAAAUAAAAUCAACUAGGGAGUGGAGACCCUAUGUUGGAAAAGAUACUAGGUAGUGGAGACCCUAUGUCUAAAAUAAAAUCAACUAGGUAGUGGAGACUCUAUGUUGGAAAAGCAAACUAGGGAGUGGAGACCCUAUGUCUAAAAUAAAAUCAACUAGGGAGUGGAGACCCUAUGUUGGAAAGUGAGACUACUGAAUUAUGUACCUAUGCAAAAAUGAACCAAGAAGGAUUUUUUUUUUAGAAAAAAAAUCAUUUUUUUGUGUUUGAGAAAUUCAUUCUUUUAAACAAAUUGCUCAAACACUUUUUUUCAAAGGCAUGAACAGAUGACUUUUUUUAAAAGAAAUUAUUAUCAUAGGAGAAAAUUUAUCAGACUAGGAUGUUUAUCCAAGGAGAAAGAUUCAACAGACUAGGUUUUCUAUCUUAGGAGAAAGAUUCAUCAAACCAAGAUUUUGAUCCUAGGAGAAAGUUAAUCAGACUAGGGUUUUUUCUUAGGAGAAAGAUUCAUCAGACUAUGAUGUUUAUCCUAGGAGAAAGAUUCAUCAGACUAGGUUUUCUAUCUUAGGAGAAAGAUUCAUCAGACUAGGACUCUUAUUUUUUCUCUAUUAUUUUGGUAUCUUAGGAGAAAGAUUCAUCCGACUAAGACGUUUAUCCUAGGAGAAAAUUCAUCAGACUAGGUUUUCUAUCUUAGGAGAAAGAUUCAUCAAACUAAGAUUUCUAUCCUAGGAGAAAGUUCAUCAGGAUAGGUCUUCUAUCUUAGGAGAAAGAUUCAUCAGACUAAGAUUUUGAUCCUAGGAGAAAGUUCAUCAGGCUAGAUCUCUUUUUUGGUAUCUUAGGAGAAAGAUUCAUUAAACUAAGAUUUCGAUCCUAGGAGAAAGUUCGUCAGACUAGGUUUUCUUAUCUUAGGAGAAAAAAAUUCAUUAGACUAAGACGUUUAUCCUAGGAGAAAAUUCAUCAGACUAGGUCUUCUAUCUUAAGAGAAAGAUUCAUCAGACUAAGAUUUCGAUCCUAGGAGAAAAUUCAUUAGACUAGGUCUUCUAUCUUAGGAGAAAAAUUCAUCAGACUAAGAUUUUGAUCCUAGGAGAAAGUUCAUCAGAAUAGGUCUUUUUUUUGAUUGACUUUCCUUGUACUGCUUUGUUCCUGUUUCAUACAAAGAAAUAUUUGUCAGUUUUGAAAAUGGUGGUCGGUUUGUGGCCUUGAGUCUUGGGCAGCUUGGCUUCUGCUCAAUCAACUUGAGUAUGUUUUAAGAGACUUUUUCUCUUCAUCAACCCUAAUUGUUUCACACCCAGUACCAUUCAUUUUUGUGGUUCAAUCAGCCUUAUUCCAACUGGAGAUCUUUUUUUUAGGUGACUUUUUCUGAUAUCUUGAAUGACUUCCCGCUUUUUGAGCAAUUUGUCCGUCAGAGAGAACCACUAGUUAUCUUUGCUUAUGCCAAGUAGGCUGAUAAGAGUCUUUUAGGGAAGCCUUUGCAUGAAUCCUCAAGGUAUAUUGACAGUAACAACUGAGUGUGAUGGCCAAAUUUACUUUGUGCAACUGAAAAGUUGGUAGCAGAUUUUGAAAUCUUUUCUCACUUGUUUUGACACAUACUGACUCAGAGUCAAGGAAACAAUGAUGCAAAGAAACAAGUACUAACAAGAAAUGCCCCUGUCGGAAGGACAAAAGGAAGAGUUUUUUAUAAUUUUUUUUCGAUAACUAGCCUUAAUGAUCAUGACAUACAUUUGGACUCAAUGGCCUAGUCUAUCAAACUGAUCUAAUCUUCCCUUUUACCAUUCUUAUGACCUUUGAAGUCGGGCUUGUUUGUGCCAAUUCUUUGCAUCAGCUUCACGACUCGCUUUCGACUAGCGGUGCCCCGAGGAAUUUUCACCAACAAGCCUCUAUCAUUUAUUCAUCUUUACUUACCAUCGUCUUAUAGUGCCCGUGAGGGUUUACACUAGUAGGACUCUUUAUUUUUUUCUUCUUUAUUUUUCUUUUUCUUUUGCCUUCUUGUGUGAGCAACUGACAGUGUUCUAUGUUGCAUGAGAGUCGUUGCUCAUUGCAUACUUCUCUUGGCAUUCUUGUAGCUAUAUCGGGAGGUCUUUAUUUAGAAGAUUUUUGGAUAGGAUUGAAAGAAGGGAUGACAUGAAGGCUCAAAGUAGGCUCAAAAUGAGGGGGUUGUAGACUUACAACUCUUGGAAUCGACUCUUUCAAAAGUGAAAUAUAAUCUUUGCCCCAAUUUAAGCUAUUGGGGAUUUUUUGGAAUUUUUUUUCUUUUUUUUUUAGAAUUCUUAUUUGGUUGGACUGAACCGUGAGACUGCCUACGUAUCCUUUUUUAAGGAAUCAGGUCGAACGUAGUUCAAAAAUCUGACCUAACUAUAAUUUUUCUUUCUGUUCCUCUGUCUUUUUCCCUUUUUUUUUUUCUCAUUUUUCUUUUUGUUCGCCCCAGCUUCUAUCUUCUAAGAGCAUGGACUUUUGACAUUUCUUUUCUUCUUCUUUUUUUUUCCACUUGAACUUUCAAAGAGCUGCCCCAGUUUGUACUCUUGGGGCAUAGGCCUUUAUUGUUAUUAUUUUUUUCCUUUUUUUUUUGACUUUUGACUCUAAACCUGAUUCCAAAAGAGAGUGGUCAAAGAAAAUAACACAGGCUCAAAGGGGUGACAAAUGGUAUAAAGUAUUUGGGUAGCAGAAAAAGGGCCUCCCAACCUUGAGAACGCCAAACAUAAUAUCUUUUUGCCAUCACAGCAUUGACGAACAUGUCUGUCUUCUUGGUAUGCCGCGGUCACAAGACAAUUUCCAUCCCUUAAUGUCAAACUUUCCGACAAACUUCAAUUGAUUAAACAUCCUCAAGCCCGAUCUUCACAAUGAUUUGAAGGUGAAUUUUACUCGACCUUAGUUCCAAAGUACUUCAACUCUUUAUUCAUCCUCAAAAGUGUUUUUUUUUUCAGUUAUCGAAUUCCAGAUUAAAUCAGUUUCUAAGAUCUGGCCAAAAUUUCUGCAUGCAUGUCAUUUCAUUAGAACUAGCGAGAAAAGAACUAGAAAUAGAAUGACACGAAAGGACAAACUUUAUUGAGUAAAGGAUAAAAGAGUUUUACAACAAGACAAACAACCUAAGAUCCGAGUUACAAACCUAAAAUAACCCGGAUAAUGAAAAUAACAACAAAACAGACAGACAUGACUCAUACAAACAGAUUAGAAAGAUAGAAGGGUUUGACUCAAUAAAACAAAUAAAUCUAGAUCACAACCCUGAAAUAACCCAGAUAACAGAAAAAACAUCAAAGCAAGCUACCAAGAUUCCUUCCUAGUGAGGAAAGAAUGACUUUUCAAUUGCUAGGUUUAACAUUUAGCCACAAAUUUGCUCAUCAGAAUCAACAGAGCCUUCUCCAAUUUCAAAAUCAUUAACUUCAGUUAGCAAGUUCCUGAGAGGAUUCUCAUACUUCCUGUCAACACGCAUCAUACCCACAAAGUGUUCAUCAUCAUGUGCAGGUAAAGGAUUUUGGGCGAUAUUCCGGGUGUCACUGUCUUGGAUCGCAAUCAGGUUUUCCUGGAUCAUCCUUUCUAUUUCUCUCUUCAAAUCCCGACAACUUUCAACAUUGUGCCUCUGGGCAUUGGAAUGAUAUUCACACCUUUUAGAAGGGUCAAAGCUUCUUGCACGUGGGUCUACAUGAUUUGGAGGAAUGGGUGCAAUCAUGUCAUAAUGUUUUAAAUUUUCAAACAAGCUUGCAUAAGACUUUCUUAUUGGUGUAAAAUUAUCUUUCAACCUUUGUUUCCUUCUAUACCCCUGGCAUGGAUGUGGGUUAUAAGGCACUUGAAAAUUUUGUGGAGGGUGGGGGAGAUUUUGUGGUGCUGGUGCUCGCCUUAUAGGAUAUCUUGGUGGCCGGGCAACAGACUGAGGUGAAGCAACAGAGUAUUGAGGGUUAUGAGGUAGAUAAUAGUGCUCGGGAUCAUCAUCGGAAAACAGACGAGGCUGGUCAUACCUUCGAGAUGCUCUCUUAGGACCUCUUCUCGACCCUGAUGUCAUCAUGAUUUCUUUUUCCUUCUCAUUCGUGUCACUAAAAUUAUCAGAUUCAAGCUGGACAGCUUGAGUUGCGGCUUUGAGAACUGCUUGACUUAUAAUUUUGCCUAUCUUAAGACCAUUAUCAACCAUUUCCCCCAUUUUGAUUACUUCCGAAAAGGAUUUACCCACUGCGGACAUCAUAUUUUGAAAAUAAUCUGGAUCUUGAGCCUGAAGAAAGACAAUGAUUAGCUCGUGGUCGUCCAUAGGUGGCUUAACUCUAGCUGCUUGCUUUCUCCAUUUAAUUACAUAUUCCCUGAAACGUUUAGUUGAUUUCUUCUUCAGGUUUGAAAAGGAAUUGCGGUCUGGGGUGAUAUCGAUGUUGUAUUGGAACUGUUUGACAAAGGCCUGUGCCAUGUCAUCCUAGAUGUACCCGCGAGAUGUGUCUUGAUCCAUAAACCAUUCAGAUGCUACUCCCAUAAGGCUUUCCCCAAAAUAAGCUAUUAGCAAUUCUUCAUUUCUUCUCGCACCUCUUAGUUGAUUGCAAUACCUUUUUAGGUGGGUUAUGGGGUCUCCAUGUCCAUCAUACUUUUCAAAUUUUGUAGUCUUGAAACCAGGCGGCAACUGGACAUCAGGGAACAUACAUAGAUCCUUGUAGGAAACACUUUUCUGACCUUCCAACCCUUGCAUGUUUUUCAACCGUUGCUCUAAGCUUUUUACUCUUUGGGUCAUUUCUUCCUGUGCCAUCUUUCGGGCAGGCUUCUCAAUGUUUGUAGGAAGAUUAAACGAGUAUGAGUGGUACUGCUCUUGCUAGGUAGAAAAUUGUGACUCAUGAGUUUUCCUAUACACCACCGUCGGCUGUGGGAUGGUGAAGACAGUCAUAACAGUAGAGGUUGUCUGAUUGGUUGUGAAUGACAAACUUUGAGAGCAUGCAAUAGAAGUCCCAGCUGUAGUCGUUCAUUUGGGAUAAGGGCUGAACCCAGGUGGACAGGAUUGAUCAGACAAUGAAACCGGAAUGGUAGUAGCCGAGAUGGAUGUGAACUUUGGGAAACCAUGAGAAGAAAAAGGCGGUCCUUGUCCAUUGGCCCAUGCUUGACACAUUUCAGUCAUUUUUNNNNNNNNNNNNNNNNNNNNNNNNNCAUUUUUCUUUUCAAUGGUUGAUCGAACCUGAUGUGGGUUGCCUACGUAUCGUGUGAGAAUAUGAAUCAGACCUUGCGUAGUUCGGGAAUAUUAAGAAUAAAGUAAAUAAACUAACUUUUUUUUUGGAUUUUGAAUUUUGAAUUUUAUUUUUCGAAAGAAAAACUUAUAAAGAAGAAAGAGAAUAUUUUUUAUUUUGAUUUUUCUUCAAAAUUUUUGUAAAGAAAGACUUCUAAAGAAAAGAGAUAUUUUUUUGAAUAUCGACCUUUUUUUUUCUUUUUUUUUUUUAAUUUCGAAACAAGAACUUCUAAAGAAGAAAGAAAAUAUUUUGGAAUUUUAUUUUGAAUUUAUGAAGAAAUGCUUCUAAAGAAAAAAGAAAAUAUUUUUGAACCUUGAAUUUUCUUUUCAAUUUUUUGAAAGAAGAAUGAAAUUUUUUUUGGAUUUUGAGAAGAAAUUAAAAGAAAAUAGCUUUGUAUAUUUUUUUUAAAAAAAUUGAGGUCUAAAAGAAAGACUUUCUAAAGAAGAAAUUGAUGAAAAAUAUUUUUGGAUUUUUUUAAAAUUGUGGGCCGAAACUGAUGAGGUUUGCCUACGUAUCUCACAUCCGGUGAGAAUCAGACCCGCGUAGUUCGCCUAUUUUGACAGAACAAGGGAAACAUGACACUUUAAAAAUUUUGGCUCAUUAAAUGACUUUUCUUUUUUCAGAAUUUCGGCAGAGUUUCAAAAUUUUCUAAAUAUCUACCUCACUUUUUUUGAUUUUCUAUUUUUCCUCUUCUUUUCUUUUUUGAUUUUCUUUCCCUAUUCUAGAAGCCGGGCCGAAACAAACAGAUGCGCAAGUAGCACGUAGGAUGCAUUAGGAUGGUCUUUUAAUUUGGGUAAACCUGUCCUAGACGGACUCAACCCCUGUGUUGAGUCCCUAAAGUCAAAUGCACGUGAUGCAAACAAACGUUCCUACUAGGGAUCCAACAUGAGGCUGAGUUAUUCUAGAUUUUAAAACCUGGUUAUAUUGUUCUGGACUUGGUGUACCCGAGCGGGCAACUCGAGCCGGGGGGUGGGGAGGGGAGGGGCUACGUAUCGGGAACCAAAAGGCCAUACGGCUUUGUAACUUGUCCGAGCCUCUUUCUAAUUUAAGGUAUGACACUAACAGAAAGAGGAGUCAUGCCAGUGUGCACAUCCCCGAAGAUGAGAAGAGAAAGGCUUCGUAACAAUUUAUAUACAUUUCAAAUAAUAUCAAAGUGGUAAAAAGCGACAUUUAGCAUAUUUGACCCAAACAUGUAAUAACAAUCAUAUAAUAAAUAAAAGCCAAUUAUAACAGUUAUUCUAAGCUCGAAUUCUUGAACCCUGAACUGGAAGUUCUGGGUUACUUUCCCCAGCGGAGUUUCCAGAGCUGUCACACCUCAUUUGUUUACACCCCGAGGGCAGAUAUACGGGAGUUUUUCCAAUUAAAGUGACAUUAUUCGAUAUGGGAUUAUUUAAUUAUCAGAGUCACCACUUGGGAUAGUUUAUUUGGUGUCCCAAGUCACCGGUUUAUUUUAAAAUCCCAAAUCGAGGAAAUUUCGACUUUAUUUAAAAGUCUGCGAAACCAGAAAUUCUAUUAACCCGGGAGAAGGUGUUAGGUAUUCCUGGGUUCCGUGGUUCGAUCAUGGUCGCUUAAACUAUUAAAAUUUGCCUAAUUAUCUGAUUACUACAUGUUUUAAACCUAUUGUGCAUUUUUAGAUUUAUAACCGCUUUUAAUUAUUUUAGACUGCUUUUAGGAAGAUUCAAUGUUAUUUAAAACACGUCUUAAACCACGCUAUAUGAAAUGCAUCCAUGAUUCGCGACACAUUCUAUUUAACAUUGUUGAGAAAUUGAAAUUGGGUCACACGAAAUGUACACCGGGAUUAAAAUCACAACUACAUUACGGGAACCGUACCCGUAGCUAUGAUUGAAUUGUUUAAAUAAUGCGUCCAAAGCAACUAAGACGAUUCAAUUUUCAAUAGUAACAUUUUUAAGGGCCAUGGAUGAUUUAAUUAUUUAUGGCAAACCUCAAACCUUUUUCUGUAAGCGUUAGUUCUUGAAUCUAAUCUUAUGAGGGCGUUGGAUUAUAAAUUUUGUUUGGCAUGACACGUCUCAAUUUAUUUCAAAGGGUUUUAUUAUUCAAAAUUGUUAUAAUCGGGUUACAUGAAAUGUACCCCCGAAUUGGGAUUUACGUAUCGUGACCAUGCCACGGGAACCAUACCCAUAGUCACGAUGGUUUAUUAUAAAGCGCGCCUAAAGUAAACUACGAGUGUUUAAAGGUGUUUUCUAUACUAAGUUAAUGUUAAUAUGAGGGCCAUAGCUUAUGGAUUUUUAUGUGUGUAUGACAAACCUCAAUUUAUUUUACAAGGUUUGUACUCAAUUAAAACAAACUAAGAUCAAUACUACAGAACAUGUUGGGCCUUAUCCAUAUCUACGAACUAAUAUCUAACUUAUGUAACUUUGUAAUUGUUUUAACUAGCAUCUAAUUUCAUUUAACAAAUAAAAGAAGAAAUUAAACCAUGAACAUUUAAGAUAUUUUUAAACAAACAUGCUGAAUGUCACAUGCCAAAAAAACGACAUGUCAAAAACGGAGAAGGAGUCAGAAUAUGCACCAAAUCAGUUUUAAUCCAAGCUUAACCGGAGCUAUUACAAAAUGAAACAACAUUGAAGAUUCAACCUUAACAAUAAAGAAAAACAGACCUUAGUGAGACUUGACCUUCCGACUCAGCCACAAAAUUAGAAAUCACAGACGAGCAAAAUCGACGGAGCUCGGCAAAAUUUCAUCCAAACAACAACAUCAAUGGAAUCUAACAACAAUUUGAACCUGAAUUCUUCUUUUAAUUUUCAAAAUCUAUUUUUUCAUUCUAGACGGAAGGGAGCACUACACGUGAAAUUCGCAAUAGAAAUCGAACAAAAUCAACAGUCCUCCAAACUCACCGAAAAUAUGCACGACAGAACUGUUUGGUGCAUUUUUGCCUAAAACAGCAAGAGCAUCGGCGAUUGAAGAUGAAGAGCUGCUAGGUUUCUUUUGGCUCUUUUUUCCUUUUCUUGUUUCUUUUUUGUUUUCCCAUCCCUUUUCCUUUUGUGUAAUUGUGUGUGUCUUGUUUUCAAUUGAGAAAUCAAGAAAAGGAAGUUAGAACCUAAAAUAUGAAAAAGAAGAAGAAAAUGAGUAGCGACUCUCAAAGUNN
rnacentral:lncRNA from 1 species